rnacentral:lncRNA from 1 species
CAGGGAUGUCCUAUUUCUGGACAGUUGUACUCAUUGGCCAUCGAACCUCUUCUAAACAACCUUAGAACUAGGCUGUCGGGACUUUUGUUACCUGGUCUUCCUGCGCGUCCCCAGCUGGUGGUGUCGGCUUAUGCCGAUGACAUCAAUGUUUUUGUUAGGGAUCAGGGUGAUGUGGACAAAAAUUGAUUGUGGGCUUUUUCUGGUCGGGCCAGCACUGGCUGAGGUCUGCAGUGCUGUACCUGCCAGUACAGGAGGGAGGACAGGGAUUGGUGGACAUUGCAUCUCGUGUCACAGCUUUCAGACUGCAGGCGGCACAAAGACUGUUGUACAGUCUUGGUGUGCCGUGGACGGAUAUGGCCUGUCUGUUGUUAAGGAAGGCUGGGCGACUGGGGUACGACAAACACCUGUUCCUGCUUCAGCCCCAGUCCAUGGACCUGACUGGUCUUACACCCUUCUACCAGUCAGUGUUGAAGGCAUGGCAGGUUCUAUCGUUUAAGCACAAAGCUGUGACAAUACCAGGGAUGUGGAUCUUUGAAGAGCCCCUUUUUGGAAACAGCAUCAUCACCUCUCGGGUCCUGUCCUCCGCCACCCUGAGGUCCAGACUGAGGGAUGCUGGAGUAGUGAAGCUGGGCCACUUGCUGAAGACCUCUGUCCCUGAUCUCUCUGACCGGCUCAACAUGAGGUCCAGCAGGCUGCUGCUCCAGCUUGUAAGAGAGGUCUGUGCUUCCCUGCCAGAGGCCCUAAGAGUCUUUGUGUUGGAUCCAUCUGUGUCUGAACUGUGGGACGACGAGUGUGAGUAUGUCUUUCCCUCCUUGGCUGUCUGUCCAGCUGUUGGACAGUGGCAGCCCGAGGAAGACAACCUGCUGUCCCUGAAGUCUUCGGUAUCAGUGGAUUUUGAAGGUGUCGGGAGGAAAGAUCUCUACAUCUUAGCUGUGAAGGUCAGAAACUUGCGCUCCCUGGAAGGGCUGAAGGCGUCAGGGUGGACUAGUUUUUUUGGCGCAGGCUCUUCCCCGGGGGGUUGUUGGCGGUCCCUGUACAAGCCUCCUGUUGAUAAACGGACAGGAGACCUCCAGUGGAGGAUUGUGCAUGGGGCCAUAGCUACCAACAGGUAUCUGGUGCACCUUGACCCCAGCACAGGGGAUGGCUGCCCUUUCUGUUCCCAGUCAGAAACCAUCCACCACCUCUUUGUCCAGUGUCCCAGACUGGAGGGGCU